GACGAACGCUGGCGGCGUGCUUAACACAUGCAAGUCGAACGGAAAGGCCCUGCUUUUGUGGGGUGCUCGAGUGGCGAACGGGUGAGUAACACGUGAGUAACCUGCCCUUGACUUUGGGAUAACUUCAGGAAACUGGGGCUAAUACCGGAUAGGAGCUCCUGCUGCAUGGUGGGGGUUGGAAAGUUUCGGCGGUUGGGGAUGGACUCGCGGCUUAUCAGCUUGUUGGUGGGGUAGUGGCUUACCAAGGCUUUGACGGGUAGCCGGCCUGAGAGGGUGACCGGCCACAUUGGGACUAAGAGACGGCCCAGACUCCUACGGGAGGCAGCAGGGGAGAAUAUUGCACAAUGGGCGGAAGCCUGAUGCAGCAACGCCGCGUGCGGGAUGACGGCCUUCGGGUUGUAAACCGCUUUCGCCUGUGACGAAGCGUGAGUGACGGUAAUGGGUAAAGAAGCACCGGCUAACUACGUG
rnacentral:rRNA from 1 species